UACAGAGGUCCCAAGCGUUGUUCGGAUUCACUGGGCGUAAAGGGUGCGUAGGUGGUCAGGUAAGUCGGAUGUGAAAUCUCCGAGCUCAACUCGGAAACUGCAUUGGAAACUACCUGGCUCGAGGGUUGGAGGGGGGACUGGAAUGCUUGGUGUAGCAGUGAAAUGCGUAGAGAUCGGGGGGAACACCAGAGGCGAAGGCGGCGACCUGGACAAGUACUGACACUCAACUGCGAAAGCGUGGGGAGCAAACAGG
rnacentral:rRNA from 1 species